GAUGAAGAACGCAGUGAAAUGCGAUAAGUAAUGUGAAUUGCAGAAUUCAGUGAAUCAUCGAAUCUUUGAACGCACAUUGCGCCCCUUGGUAUUCCGGGGGGCAUGCCUGUUCGAGCGUCAUUUCAACCCUCAAGCUCAGCUUGGUAUUGAGUCCAUGUCAGUAAUGGCAGGCUCUAAAAUCAGUGGCGGCGCCGCUGGGUCCUGAACGUAGUAAUAUCUCUCGUUACAGGUUCUCGGUGUGCUUCUGCCAAAACCCAAAUUUUCUAUGGUUGACCUCGGAUCAGGUAGGGAUACCCGCUGAACUUAAGCAUAUCAAUAAGCGAGGA
rnacentral:misc_RNA from 1 species